CCACCUGGUCCCGCUCGGGUCUCGUUUAGAACUUUUUUUCCUUCUUUUUUUUUUGAACUGGUCUGUGGACGAGAUGGGAAUUUGGCAGUCACUAUCUGGUCCUCCCGAGUACCGACAACUGGCGGAAAAGACAGGCUUCACUUGUGAGCAGAUUGGCGUUCUCCACAAAAGAUUCAAGCAGCUGAGCCACAAUGAAGACACCCUGCGGAGGGAACACUUCAACGCCAUCCACGAUCUGGGCUGUAAUCCCAUCCGGGUGCAGAUCAUAGAAGCCUUCUUUGACAGGAGGAACUUGAUCCCGCCCGGCGAAGGCCGGAUGGAGGAGAUCCACCUGGAGGACUUUGUGGUGAUCAUGUCCCACUUCAAACCGCCACCACUCAGCAUGACGGACGAGGAAAGGGAUAGCGUCCGUACAGAGAAGCUCAGAUUUUUGUUCCACAUGCACGACACGGACAACGACGGAACCAUAACCCUGGAAGAGUACCGACACGUGGUGGAGGAGCUGCUCUCUCGCAGCGCGCACAUCAGCAAGGAAGCCGCCGACAGCAUCGCCGACGCCGCCAUGUUGGAGGUGGCGGCCAUAUCCAUGGGUCACAUGGAGCCCGACGAAUUCUACGAGGGCAUCACGUUCGAGCACUUCCUUAAGCUGCUGAACAGCUUUGAGAUUGAAGCCAAGAUGAACGUUCGCUUUUUGAAUAUGAAUGCCUCCACGGUGUGCUACUAACGAGGAUGGUCACCGUCGUCGGACAAAGGCUCUCUUGCUUUCCCAACAAUCUUCAACUGACAUCAUGAAGGGAGGAAGGAUGGAGGUAAGGAAACGAGGAAACAAGGACAAAGGAAUUGAGUUGCAAGGAAGCACGCCAAAAUGGUCACUCGAUUGGGAAGUGGCCAUGAGGACUUGUCGUCUGCUGCCCUCUGCUGGAUUAAACACGAAAUGCAUGUGGUGGCGCUUGAGUCCAAUCGAAAAACUUGGCUCUCGACAUACGUUUCAUGUUGAUCAUCAAUCGCCAAUUGCCUUUUCCGUUCCGAGAACCCGAGAGUGACUUUUUGCCCCGUUGAGCUUGCGCUUCUUGAAAUAACAGCCAGUUGUUAUUAAAGGGAACUUGAUUCAGCCGACCGACUACUUCCAGUUUCCAGACAGCUUGUGAUCUCAAAGGGCCUGCCCCUUCUCUUACAUCAUGCCAACAAUGGAUGACCUACAUCGGGGAUGGCCAAGCAUGAGGAAUCGUCGCCUGAUUGCUCCAAAAUAACGGCGAGAAGCGGCCAGACGUUGUGACGUCACAAAGUCAGACGUCUCCGGACGCUUCCUGAUUUUCUUUUUGGACACCGUCGGUCGGGUGCAACACAUGACGCCCGCCUCCAGCACAAAAAAGAUUCUUCCUCACCGUCUUAAAAUGUCCAUUUGUUUUUUUCUUCUUUUUAUUGAGAUGCCGGGCCACGUUCGAACAUCCGCGCUACAACCCGAGUCCAUUUCCACGACGUCCCAGUGCAACAAUUUCCCAUGCAGCGUUGGCGUCAUAAAUAUUAAAUAUAAAUAUCAUAAAUAGG